AUGUUGGACAGGGCGCGUCUGCGCCUCCGGCCGCCGCGGCUCCCGGGGCCUCCGCCUGCAGCCGGCGGCGGAACGAGGGCAGGCGGCUGAGACAGGCGAGCUAUUUGCAUUCCCCGGCAGUCAUUUUUAUAUGCGGAGGUAAUGAAGUUGUCAGCGGCGCCCCGAGUGUGGCAGAGCCUGAUAUUCAAAUCGCCCUGCCCGCUCCGCCUGCUCCCGCCCGCUGGUCCCGGGAGCCCCAGGCUGCGCGCGCCCGCACCGCAUCGCCGCUUUGCCCCGCGACCGCGCGCGCCUCCUCGUCCUCCCCCGCGCCUUUGUUUCCGUCUCCUUCUCCUUUCCCUCCUCUUUUGUGUCGGGCCAGACUCAGCCCCAGAAACCAGCCACCCUGCCGCGUCCGACUGCCAGGGAUCCCUCACGCCGCGAGGUGAGCUGGUCGCAGGUGUGGGGAAGUUCGCGGGUGCAGCUAGGCCGCCGCCCUCGCGCUCGACGCCACGCCCGCCUCCUCUUUCCUUCCCCAGGGGCCCCUUGCCCUCCCUUCACCUCCGUCUCCAAGAAAGAUGACCUAGUACUGCCAUUACCGUUUGGGCCUAGAGGAGUUUUCGUUCCUCUUUCCGAAUGCAUAUUUGUGGUCAUUUUUUAUGAUUGCAGAAACCCAACACACAGCUAUUCUGUCAGGCUGCCGAGAAAAGGCUGUUCGGCAGUUGCAGCCCUGGUGAGGCAAUGAGGAGGAAAGGUGGACGCACCUGCCUGGAGUGGUUGAAGGAAGGCAGUGAACAUCCACGCUCCUGGGGUUGGUUUUCCUGAACCUCUGUAGCUGUGCUGCUCACUGGGGCAGCCACUGACCACAAGAGGCUGCCGAGGGCUUGCAGUGUGGCCAGGCCAGACCAGGAUGUUCUCCAAGUGGGAAAUACACACCCCAUUGUAAAGAAGACUGUAUGGAAAAAAGAAUGUGAACUGGCUCAUUCAUCAUUUAAAAACAUUGAUUGCAUAUUGAAAUGAUAAUAUUUUGGGUAUAUGGGGUGAAAUAAAGUAUCAUGAAUUAAAUCUUUUUUUAAAAAUGUGGCCACAAAGAACAUUUAAAUUUACACAUGUGGUUCACAUUAUAUCUCUGUGGGAUCGCACUUAAGACCCAACCCCACCCAUCCUCUAACUCUGCCCUCUCAGCUUGCUCUACAGGUACUUUGGAACAGGGCAGGGAUGGAGGGAAGGUCCUUGUAUCUUAGGGAUCAAAUGCCCAGGAAAAUAAUUAGGAGGUGUUUGGGAUUAUGCUGAAAACCCUGACAACACUGAAUAGCAGAUGUCUCUUUCUUUUCCCUUUGUUCACUGUAAAGAAAAACUUACACUCCCCCACAGCCAUGCCACAAUUCCAUGGACCAACCAUUCAUGUGUGAAGGUGGGCCUCUAGGAGUGUUUUGUGCCUUUUAGGAGUUAUUUGUGGCACACUAAACUUGCUGACAUGCCAUUUAGAAAAGUGAAUACUGUGUACGCACUGUAACAACUAUUCCAUAAGUAUUUUUGGUGUACACUGUUCCUCAGCACUCACAGGCUUCGGAGUAGGGGCUCCCGGAGUAUGCAUUGACACGAUGCGCUGCAAAUGAUCCGGGCGUGGGGAAGUCCCCGAGUGUGCAUUGAUUCCACACACGGCCACGGCUCCUACAGGGCUUUUAUGGUGCAGCUCGCCAAUGAUCCGUGUGUUAAAGACUCCCCAAAUACACAUUGACACGAUAGACUGGAGUUGUUUGGGUCUAUCGUGGCAAUGAUCCGGGGAUAAUGGCAGUGUCUUAUACAAUUUCACUGAGAUUGGAGUGCUCAUGGUCCUAAUGGCAGAACCGGAACUGCCCCAGUUAAGUCCCACCAUGGCGCCCAGUAAAGGGUGUGUGGGUCUUUGACCUUCUGCUUCAUGACACUGUGGCAUUGCUAAUUUUACUGAUAUUUUAACUAACAUAAUUGAGUUAGCAUUUUUUUCCCCCUGAAAAUUCAUUUUUGUAAUUCAACACCUGAAUUAGGGAGUCCAUCUAGUGAUGGUUUCAUUUGGUUAAUCAUAAGCUAAAGACCUAGGAAAGGUCAUUCUUAAACCUAAAGUGUUUUGGGAAAAAUAAUCGUGGGAGAUGCAUAUGAGCUUGAGACAGAGUUAAUAUGGAAUAAAUAACCUCAGUCCUGAGAAAACCUAGUUGGCUAGGCUGAAAUAGACAAGAUGAGAAGGUGGGAAGAAGAUGUUUUUAAAAAUAAUGAAAGUAACAUAUUCAAUAAAAAUAAUUCAAACACUGUAGAAGUGUAUGAAAUAAAAAACAGAAUCCUCCCACUCCUUCCUUCCUUCUUUCUAUACCAUUCACUGUUACAAGCACUAUUAAUAUUUUUGUAUAUUCUUCCAGUAACUUAAAAACACAUGCAAAUAUAUACAGUCAUGCAUCUCUUAAUGAUGGGAAUAUGUUCUGAGAAAUGCAUCGUUAGGCGAUUUCAUCAUUGCACGAAUAUCAGAGAAUGUACUUAUACAAACCUAGAUGGUGUAGCCUACUACCCACCUAGGCUAUAUGGUAUAGCCUAUUGCUCCUAGGCUACAAACCUGUACAGCAUGGUACUGUAACAGAAUACUGAAGGCAAUUGGCCAGGCACUGUGGCUCACGCCUGUAAAUCCCUGCACUUUGGGAGGCCAAGGCUGGCCUUCAAGACCAGCCUGGCUAACAUGGUGAAACCCUGUUUUUACUAAAAACCCCAAAAUUAGCUGGGCUUGAUGGCAUACACGUGUAGUUCCAGCUACUCAGGAGGCUGAAGCAGGAGAAUCACUUGAAUCUGGGAGGUAAAGUUUGCAGUGAGCAGAGAUCAUGCCACUGCACUCCAGCCUGGGCAACACAGCAAGACUCCAUCUCAAAAAAAAAAAAACAACACUGUAGGCAACUGUAACACAAUGGUGAGUACUUAUGUAUCUAAAUGUAGAAAAGGUACAGCAAAAAUACAGUAUAAAUGGUAAAAAAAGAAAAAAUACAACUGUAUAGGGCACUUACCAUGAAUGGAGUUUGCAGGUCUAGAAGUUGCUCGGGUGAGUGGAGUGAGUGGCGAGUAAAUGUGAGGGUCUAGGACAUUGUGUAUACUAGUGUAGGCUUUAUAAACACCGUACACUUAGGCUACACUAAAUUUAUAUUUAAAAAGGUAAUUGCUCUACAACAUUGUGAUGGCUAUAUUGCCACUAGGCUAUAGGAAUUUUUCAGCUCCAUAUUAAUCUUAUGGGUCCACUGUUGUAUAUUUGGUCCAUUGUUGACCGAAAUGUCAUUAUGUGGUGCAUGACUGUAUAUCUACUCUUUGUUUACACAAAUGGGUUAAUGCUGAAUGUUAAUCUUCAACAUCUUAUAUUUUCAAUUAAUAAUACAGUCAUGUGCCCCAUAAUGAUGUUUUGAUCAGCAAUGGACUGCAUAUACGAUAGUGGCCCUGUAAGAUUACCGUGGAGCUGAAAAAUUCCUAUCGCCUGGUGAUGUCUUAGCCCUUGUAACAUCUUAAUGCAACACAUUAGUUGUGUGCUUGUGGUGGUGUCAGUGUAAACAAACCUACUGCGUUGCCAGUUAUUUAAAAGUAUACCACAUACCACAGUAUGCCACAUUAUCAAGUACAUAAUCCUAGAUAAUAACAAUAAACAACUGUUACUAGUUUAUGCAUUUACUAUACUAUUUAUUAUUAUUUUAGACUACUUUCUACACAUGCAU
rnacentral:lncRNA from 1 species